AAAAACACAAUGAAGAACACGGUAUUUUCGCCCUAAGGCAAGAGGUUCGGAACUUCGUUCCUAAUCCUCUUUUGAGCUUCCGUCAAAUGGAAGAAAUCACUAUAUCAAUGAAACCAACGAAUCUGUCCAGUACAAUCUUUUUGGCACCGAGCAGAAAAUCACACAAGAUUUCCCCCAAAAUUAAGCCUCAUAAACUGACAACAUUCACUCAAGAAUGAUGAAUCGAAGCC
rnacentral:lncRNA from 1 species